CAGCCGUAAACUAUGCGCGUUAGGUGUGCUGGUGACCACGUGUCACCGGGGUGCCGAAGGGAAACCGUGAAACGUGCCGCCUGGGAAGUACGGUCGCAAGGCUGAAACUUAAGGAAUUGGCGGGGGAGCACCACAACGGGUGGAGCCUGCGGUUAAUUGGACUCAACGCCGGAAAUCUCACCGGAUAGGACAGACAAAUGAUAGUCGGGCUGAAGACUCUACUUGAUGAUCUGAGAGGUGGUGCAUGGCGUCAGUGACU
rnacentral:rRNA from 1 species